GAUGAACGCUGGCGGCGUGCCUAAUACAUGCAAGUCGAGCGAACAGACGAGGAGCUUGCUCCUCUGACGUUAGCGGCGGACGGGUGAGUAACACGUGGAUAACCUACCUAUAAGACUGGGAUCACUUCGGGAAACCGGAGCUAAUACCGGAUAAUAUAUUGAACCGCAUGGUUCAAUAGUGAAAGACGGUUUUGCUGUCACUUACAGAUGGAUCCGCGCCGCAUUAGCUAGUUGGUACGGUAACGGCUUACCAAGGCAACGAUGCGUAGCCGACCUGAGAGGGUGAUCGGCCACACUGGAACUGAGACACGGUCCAGACUCCUACGGGAGGCAGCAGUAGGGAAUCUUCCGCAAUGGGCGAAAGCCUGACGGAGCAACGCCGCGUGAGUGAUGAAGGUCUUCGGAUCGUAAAACUCUGUUAUUAGGGAAGAACAAAUGUGUAAGUAACUAUGCACGUCUUGACGGUACCUAAUCAGAAAGCCACGGCUAACUACGUG
rnacentral:rRNA from 1 species